rnacentral:rRNA from 1 species
GAGCGGUAGAGAGAAGCUUGCUUCUCUUGAGAGCGGCGGACGGGUGAGUAAUGCCUAGGAAUCUGCCUGGUAGUGGGGGAUAACGUUCGGAAACGAACGCUAAUACCGCAUACGUCCUACGGGAGAAAGCAGGGGACCUUCGGGCCUUGCGCUAUCAGAUGAGCCUAGGUCGGAUUAGCUAGUUGGUGAGGUAAUGGCUCACCAAGGCGACGAUCCGUAACUGGUCUGAGAGGAUGAUCAGUCACACUGGAACUGAGACACGGUCCAGACUCCUACGGGAGGCAGCAGUGGGGAAUAUUGGACAAUGGGCGAAAGCCUGAUCCAGCCAUGCCGCGUGUGUGAAGAAGGUCUUCGGAUUGUAAAGCACUUUAAGUUGGGAGGAAGGGCAGUUACCUAAUACGUGAUUGUUUUGACGUUACCGACAGAAUAAGCACCGGCUAACUCUGUGCCAGCAGCCGCGGUAAUACAGAGGGUGCAAGCGUUAAUCGGAAUUACUGGGCGUAAAGCGCGCGUAGGUGGUUUGUUAAGUUGGAUGUGAAAUCCCCGGGCUCAACCUGGGAACUGCAUUCAAAACUGACUGACUAGAGUAUGGUAGAGGGUGGUGGAAUUUCCUGUGUAGCGGUGAAAUGCGUAGAUAUAGGAAGGAACACCAGUGGCGAAGGCGACCACCUGGACUGAUACUGACACUGAGGUGCGAAAGCGUGGGGAGCAAACAGGAUUAGAUACCCUGGUAGUCCACGCCGUAAACGAUGUCAACUAGCCGUUGGGAGCCUUGAGCUCUUAGUGGCGCAGCUAACGCAUUAAGUUGACCGCCUGGGGAGUACGGCCGCAAGGUUAAAACUCAAAUGGAUUGACGGGGGCCCGCACAAGCGGUGGAGCAUGUGGUUUAAUUCGAUGCAACGCGAAGAACCUUACCUGGCCUUGACAUCCACGGAAUUUGGCAGAGAUGCCUUAGUGCCUUCGGGAACCGUGAGACAGGUGCUGCAUGGCUGUCGUCAGCUCGUGUUGUGAAAUGUU